CUGGGCGAGGGCACCGACCUCUUGAGUUUCUUCUCGGUGUGCACCGGGUUCCCCAGCCCGUCGGUCAGAGAGCCGUCACUGAGGACCCUCAGUCUGUGGCCCGCGUCGCUGGGAUACAAGAGGAAUCUUUGUUCUAAGCUGAACCAGGAGGUCAGGAAACAGAACGUCAGUUCCAGAGCUCAGAGCGAGUGUUCUGAGCGGAGAAGAAGGUGUUCCUCAUUUACAACCUGAGAGUCUCUCUCUCUCCGUCUCUCCCCCUCUCCCCCUCUCUCUCUCUCGCCCACUCACUACAGUGGGAGGAUUAUGAUGAUGAGUGCUGGUGCUGAAUAACAUUGAGAGAGAGACAGAGAGAGGGAGAGAGAGAGAAACAUGGUUAAAGCGCUGCCACCUCUAGAGCCGUCUGAAUCAUAUGAAUCCUUCAUUCCUGCUGACUGUUCAGGACGGAGAACACAGUGAAGCCGAUAAGUCUCUCCUCACGCAAAUUGUUAAAGGAACACUCCACCCAUUUGCAUUAAGCUUUGCAUUGUUAGAAACCCAGUCAUACUUUUGAAUGGUCACACAACACUCUCUCAUUUUCCCCUGACACGGGAGAAAUCCGUAUUUACCUCUUACACUUCCUUCUGGCAAUGACGCAAAAAACAUUGUUUUGCGUCAUUGACAGAAGGAAAUACAAGAGGGGGGAUUUCUAUUGAGACAACAAGCACUAGUCCCACCCUUUCAAACCCGCCCAUAGGGGGUUUGACCUAAUGCGCUAACAGACCGAUCACAGAUCAGUGCCAGUGUGUAAGACUUCACCUGCAGAAAACAUGGCCGAAGGUACUGAAUACGCAGACGGACACAAUAUGGAGGAUUGGGAUUUUGAAGAAGAUGGUAGUAACGGAUGUUCGUGGCUACCUUUAUGAGCCACAAUAUAGCGACGAGCAGCUGAGGGCUAUGGAGGUACAGGGGGUGGCUGAAGCUGCCGCCGCUACAGCCGAGGCAGACGACCUGCCUGCCGCAGACGAGGAGCCCGCAAUGGCUCGAGCUGGGGCGGAUUGGUGGUGCCUGUGCUCUCACUGUGCGCCAAUGGACACAGAACAAGAGUCUGUCUGCUGCCGAGAAUUCCAGCGGUGCCGAAAUCGCCGGAAUCGGAGGAUGACACGGACGUGUGUGUUGUCGAUCACCCGAGUUUUGCACCCCAGGCUUUACGCCUCAUAUGAACAGUUGGGUAUUGGAUACAUAUUCCCGGACCCAGAAAGUGUACUGGAAACGCCAGCCAACGCCCGCCGGGAGAAACGGACGUCUGAGCAUAGAGUAAGUGCUUGUUUUUUUACUAACACAUUGGCUACAAUAGUUUUGAGUCCCGGGGAACGUGACAAUGUAGCUAUCCGAAAGUAGCCCAUCUUAUUGGCAGAGCGUAGGCUACGUUACGUUAGCUUGAAGUCUGCGUAGGCCACUCAAGGCAUAAUUUAUCUUGCUUUGCUAAUGUUGUUCUCUUUCUUUCUUAGACAGUAUCGGCUUCCUGUGUUGUCCAGGCCAUCAGAGCUAAUUAACCACAAGAUGAGCAGUACCGUGACUACCAGGAGACAGUAGAUGCUCAAGAUGAGCUGUGACUAUUUUGACUCUAGCAAAUGCACACUACACGUUUUAUUUUUGUAAAUAGUUCACAUUUUUUCAUGAAUAAAACUUCAAAUUCAUGUUGGUUGUUGUGAUUUGUUUACUAACCCAAGUGCUGUUAUACUAAAUUAGGCCUACUUUAUACGAUACACACUUAUUUCAACUGGGGAGAAAAGGUUGAGUACAAAACUUGAUAUGCUGAGCUACUGGAAUUAGCAAAUGUUCUUAUGCUGUACAGUAAUAUACAAAUGAU